AUGCUCACUUCCGCAGCACAUAUACUAAAACUGGAACAAUACAGAGAAGAUUAGCAUGGCCCCUGGGCAAGAAUGAGAAUGUCUUGAGAAUUUCAAAGAAAAA